CCGGAGCUUGCUCCACCGGAAAAAGAGGAGUGGCGAACGGGUGAGUAACACGUGGGUAACCUGCCCAUCAGAAGGGGAUAACACUUGGAAACAGGUGCUAAUACCGUAUAACAAUCGAAACCGCAUGGUUUUGAUUUGAAAGGCGCUUUCGGGUGUCGCUGAUGGAUGGACCCGCGGUGCAUUAGCUAGUUGGUGAGGUAACGGCUCACCAAGGCGACGAUGCAUAGCCGACCUGAGAGGGUGAUCGGCCACAUUGGGACUGAGACACGGCCCAAACUCCUACGGGAGGCAGCAAUAGGGAAUCUUCGGCAAUGGACGAAAGUCUGACCGAGCAACGCCGCGUGAGUGAAGAAGGUUUUCGGAUCGUAAAACUCUGUUGUUAGAGAAGAACAAGGAUGAGAGUAACUGUUCAUCCCUUGACGGUAUCUAACCAGAAAGCCACGGCUAACUACGUGCCAGCAGCCGCGGUAAUACGUANGUGGCAAGCGUUGUCCGGAUUUAUUGGGCGUAAAGCGAGCGCAGGCGGUUUCUUAAGUCUGAUGUGAAAGCCCCCGGCUCAACCGGGGAGGGUCAUUGGAAACUGGGAGACUUGAGUGC
rnacentral:rRNA from 1 species